rfam:Medicago truncatula strain A17 chromosome 8, whole genome shotgun sequence.
AUAUAAGCAAAUUUUACUUUUUAGAUUCAUUCAAUUAAUGAUGUAUGUGGUCCAUAUUAUGAACUACAUACAUCAUUAAUUGAAUGAACCUAAAAAGUAAAAUUUGCUUAUAU